rnacentral:rRNA from 1 species
AACGAACGCUGGCGGCAUGCCUAACACAUGCAAGUCGAACGAGACCUUCGGGUCUAGUGGCGCACGGGUGCGUAACGCGUGGGAACCUGCCUUUAGGUUCGGAAUAACUCAGAGAAAUUUGAGCUAAUACCGGAUAAUGUCUUCGGACCAAAGAUUUAUCGCCUUUAGAUGGGCCCGCGUAAGAUUAGCUAGUUGGUGGGUAAAGGCCUACCAAGGCGACGAUCUUUAGCUGGUCUGAGAGGAUGAUCAGCCACACUGGGACUGAGACACGGCCCAGACUCCUACGGGAGGCAGCAGUGGGGAAUAUUGCGCAAUGGGCGAAAGCCUGACGCAGCGACGCCGCGUGGGUGAUGAAGGCCUCGGUCGUAAAGCCUGUCGCAGGGAAGAAGUAAG